UACGGGGGGGGCAAGCGUUGUUCGGAAUUACUGGGCGUAAAGGGCUCGUAGGUGGCCAACUAAGUCAGACGUGAAAUCCCUCGGCUUAACCGGGGGAACUGCGUCUGAUACUGGAUGGCUUGAGAUUGGGAGAGGGACGCGGAAUUCCAGGUGUAGCGGUGAAAUGCGUAGAUAUCUGGAGGAACACCGGUGGCGAAGGCGGCGUCCUGGACCAACACUGACACUGAGGAGCGAAAGCCAGGGGAGCAAACGGG
rnacentral:rRNA from 1 species